UCCUUGGUGGUCCAGUGUGUAAGACUCUAAGCUCCCAAUCCAGUGGGCCCAGGUUCAACCCUGGUCAGGGAA
rnacentral:tRNA from 1 species